rnacentral:rRNA from 1 species
UACGAAGGGGGGCUAGCGUUGCUCGGAAUUACUGGGCGUAAAGCGCACGUAGGCGGCUUUCUAAGUCGGGGGUGAAAUCCUGGAGCUCAACUCCAGAACUGCCUUUGAUACUGGCGGCCUUGAGUCCGGGAGAGGUGAGUGGAACUGCGAGUGUAGAGGUGAAAUUCGUAGAUAUUCGCAAGAACACCAGUGGCGAAGGCGGCUCACUGGCCCGGUACUGACGCUGAGGUGCGAAAGCGUGGGGAGCAAACAGG